rnacentral:misc_RNA from 1 species
AAAAGAUGGCAUUAAAAAUGAAAAACAAGAUGAAAGCAAAAUGGUUCAAAAUUAAAAAGUAAAAAUAAGUCCUGUAACAGCUAAAAAGCAGGAAUUUAGGGUUUAUGAAAGGAUUUAACUAAGAAGAGAAAUUGAACAAGAAAAGAACGUUUUUUUUUUUUGGUUGUGAACAGUAAAGUAAAGGUUUACAAUGUUAAAGGUUUAGGAAAUAAAAUUAGCACAACCAGCACGGUUUUUGGGAUUGUUUGCAGAACUGAAUUUGGCAAUGUGAACAAUAGAAUAGUAUAGGCUUCACAUCCAAACUUCCUUAGGCUGAUAACCCAAGGUUCCAUAGGCAUCACACCUAAGGUUGAAUUGCAUCACACAACUCG